UCCGAGUUGACCCCGGCAGUAUCCCAUGAGUUCCCACCAUUACGUGCUGGCAACAUAGAACGAGGGUUGCGCUCGUUGCGGGACUUAACCCAACAUCUCACGACACGAGCUGACGACAGCCAUGCACCACCUGUCACCGGCCCCGAAGGACCCCACAUCUCUGCGAGUUUUCCGGCGAUGUCAAACCCAGGUAAGGUUCUUCGCGUUGCAUCGAAUUAAGCAACAUGCUCCACCGCUUGUGUGAGCCCCCGUCAAUUCCUUUGAGUUUCAGCCUUGCGGCCGUACUCCCCAGGCGGGGCACUUAACGCGUUAGCUGCGGCACCGAAGGGGUCGUUCCCCCCGGCACCUAGUGCCCAUCGUUUACGGCGUGGACUAC
rnacentral:misc_RNA from 1 species